AAAGGAAUAGACGGGGGCCCGCACAAGCAGUGGAGCAUGUGGUUUAAUUCGACGCAACCCGAAGAACCUUACCAGGUUUUGACAUUUAUGGAAUUCUGUAGAGAUACGGAAGUGCCUGUUCGCAGGAAUCAUAAAACAGGUGGUGCAUGGUUGUCGUCAGCUCGUGUCGUGAGAUGUUGGGUUAAGUCCCGCAACGAGCGCAACCCUUGAUAACAGUUGCCAUCAGGUAAAGCUGGGCACUUUGUUGUGACUGCCGUAGAUAAUACGGAGGAAGGUGGGGAUGACGUCAAAUCAUCAUGCCCUAUAUGACCUGGGCUACACACGUGCUACAAUGGGAUGAACAACGGGAAGCCAACCGGCGACGGUGAGCGGAUCCCUUAAAACAUCUCUCAGUUCGGAUUGCAGGCUGAAAUUCGCCUGCAUGAAGCAGGAAUUGCUAGUAAUCGCGGAUCAGAAAGCCGCGGUGAAUACGUUCCCGGGCCUUGUACACACCGCCCGU
rnacentral:rRNA from 1 species